rnacentral:lncRNA from 8 species
GUCUAUCUGUAAACUGCCGUGGUAAUACACUGAGUGUACAAAACAUUAAGAACACCUGUUCUUCCAUGACAUAGACCAGUGGUUCUCAACUCCGGUCCUCGAGUAUCCCCCACAGUACACAUUUUUAUUGUAGCCCCGGACAAGCACACCUGAUUCAAUUUGACAACUAAUCAUCAGGCCCUCAACGAGUUGAAUCAGGUACGUUUGUCCGGGGCUACAACACAGAUGUGUGCUUUUGGGGUUACUCAAGGACUGGAGUUAGGAACCACUGACAUAGACUGCCCAGACUACAGCAUUGAAACCUGCAGGGGAACCACAUCUCAGUAGUACCAGAGGUGUUACCAAGGAACCUGCAACAGAAGGGGUAUUUGCAACACCAGCAGGUGUCUCUCAAACAAAAUUGUGAUGAACAGGACUUCAGGAAUCCCCCUGUCUCUGAGGGGUAGGAGACUGAAUACAUUAAUGGAUGUGUGGUCAAUCCAAAAAACGAUUCCCCCACUCACAUAUUCCUUGACACUGGGGCUGAGGACAGAGAGGAAUUGUAUGGAGUAUACGGUUUGCCACCACCAGAGCUUUGUUUCCUCAAUGUGGCUGACAAUAAGAUUGUCGAGGAAGAAGCAGUGUCUGUAG